rnacentral:rRNA from 1 species
GACGAACGCUGGCGGCGUGCUUAACACAUGCAAGUCGAACGCUGAAGCUCAGCUUUUGUUGGGUGGAUGAGUGGCGAACGGGUGAGUAACACGUGAGUAACCUGCCUCCUUCUUUGGGAUAACGCCCGGAAACGGGUGCUAAUACUGGAUAUUCACUGGUCUUCGCAUGGGGGUUGGUGGAAAGGGUUUUUCUGGUGGGGGAUGGGCUCGCGGCCUAUCAGCUUGUUGGUGGGGUGAUGGCCUACCAAGGCUUUGGCGGGUAGCCGGCCUGAGAGGGUGACCGGUCACAUUGGGACUGAGAUACGGCCCAGACUCCUACGGGAGGCAGCAGUGGGGAAUAUUGCACAAUGGGCGCAAGCCUGAUGCAGCGACGCCGCGUGAGGGAUGGAGGCCUUCGGGUUGUGAACCUCUUUCGCUCAUGGUCAAGCCGCAGCAAUGGUUGUGGUGAGGGUAGUGGGUAAAGAAGCGCCGGCUAACUACGUG